rnacentral:lncRNA from 1 species
GUCUCACACAUGCAUGAUAUAAGCUACACUUGCCAUUUAUUUCAACCGAUACUGAAGGGUUAAAAAAUUAUUAUUAUUAUUUGCUGCAGCUUUCAUUAGGCCGGACCUAAUUAUUUUAAAGAGUUAAUCUCCCGAUACGAUGACGGGUCAAUAUACCUGGUGACCUCACCGGAUCCGAACUCUUUCCCUACCCACCACCUAAAUUACCAUUUUUUUUAACCUCUUCCAUAACUACCAAAAGUCUAAAAUAACCAUCCGGUGAACAGAACAAAAAUUAGCUAAUCACACUUUCUGCCCC